AUACUUACUGGCAGGGGAAUACCAUGAUCACGAAGGUGGUUUUCCCAGGGCGAGGCUUAUCCAUUGCACUCCGGAUGUGCUGACCCCUGCGAUUUCCCCAAAUGUGGAAACUCGACUGCAUAAUUGUGGUAGUGGGGACUGCGUUCGCGCUUUCCCCC
rnacentral:snRNA from 1 species